GGCGUGCCUAACACAUGCAAGUCGAACGGAGCGCCCGGACGGAGUAUUUCGGUACAAAGACCGGGUGGCUGAGUGGCGGACGGGUGAGUAACGCGUGGACAACCUGCCGUGUACAGGGGGAUAACAGCCGGAAACGGCUGCUAAUACCGCAUAUGCGCACAGUGCCGCAUGGCACAGGGCGGAAAGCCUAGAUCUUAUCUAGUACGGUACACGAUGGGUCCGCGUCUGAUUAGGUAGUUGGCGGGGUAACGGCCCACCAAGCCCACGAUCAGUAGCCGGCCUGAGAGGGCGGACGGCCACACUGGGACUGAGACACGGCCCAGACUCCUGCGGGAGGCAGCAGUGGGGAAUAUUGCACAAUGGGGGGAACCCUGAUGCAGCGACGCCGCGUGAAGGAAGAAGUAUCUCGGUAUGUAAACUUCUAUCAGCAGGGAAGAAAGAGGACGGUACCUGACUAAGAAGCCCCGGCUAACUACGUGCCAGCAGCCGCGGUAUACGUAGGGGGCGAGCGUUAUCCGGAUUUACUGGGUGUAAAGGGAGCGUAGACGGCCAUGCAAGCUCGGUGUGAAAGGUGCGGGCACAACCCGCAGACUGCACUGAGAACUGUAUGGCUGGAGUGCCGGAGGGGCAGGCGGAAUUCCUGGUGUAGCGGUGAAAUGCGUAGAUAUCAGGAGGAACACCGGUGGCGAAGGCGGCCUGCUGGACGGCGACUGACGUUGAGGCUCGAAAGCGUGGGGAGCGAACAGGAUUAGAUACCCUGGUAGUCCACGCCGUAAACGAUGUAUACCAGGUGUCGGGCAUCAAGGAUGGCCGGUGCCGUAGCAAACGCAUUAAGUAUACCACCUGGGGAGUACGUUCGCAAGAAUGAAACUCAAAGGAAUUGACGGGGACCCGCACAAGCGGUGGAGCAUGUGGUUUAAUCCGAAGCAACGCGAAGAACCUUACCAAGCCUUGACAUCCCGCUGACAGGGGCGUAACGGCCCCCUCCCCUCGGGGCAGCGGAGACAGGUGGUGCAUGGUUGUCGUCAGCUCGUGUCGUGAGAUGUUGGGUUAAGUCCCGCAACGAGCGCAACCCCUAUCUUUAGUAGCCAGCAUUUCGGAUGGGCACUCUAGAGAGACUGCCAGGGACAACUUGGAGGAAGGUGGGGAUGACGUCAAAUCAUCAUGCCCCUUAUGACCAGGGCUACACACGUGCUACAAUGGCGUAAACAAAGGGAAGCAAGCAUGUGAAUGUGAGCAAAUCCCAAAAAUAACGUCUCAGUUCGGAUUGUAGUCUGCAACUCGACUACAUGAAGCUGGAAUCGCUAGUAAUCGCGAAUCAGAAUGUCGCGGUGAAUACGUUCCCGGGUCUUACACACACCGCCGGUCA
rnacentral:rRNA from 1 species